rnacentral:rRNA from 1 species
UACGGAGGGAGCUAGCGUUGUUCGGAAUUACUGGGCGUAAAGCGCACGUAGGCGGACUAUUAAGUCAGGUGUGAAAGCCCCGGGCUCAACCUGGGAAUUGCAUUUGAGACUGAAUAGCUAAGGUGCGGAAGAGGGAAGCGGAAUUUCCGGUGUAGCGGUGAAAUGCGUAGAUAUCGGAAGGAACACCAGUGGCGAAAGCGGCUUCCUGGUCCAGCACCGACGUCAGGCACGAAAGCGUGGGGAGCAAACAGG